rnacentral:lncRNA from 1 species
GGCAUCUGGAGGGUCUGGCUGGGGAAGUGGAACCCUUGCUUUUCUUCAAGGGGGGACUCCCUCUUUGCUCCCCAGCUCAGUCUUCCCAUGACUACUGACACCUCCUCACCCCCUGGAGGUGACCCAUGUCGCUACAGAUCAGAUCCCCAAAUUUUCCUUUCAUAUGCCUACAUCUUUUUUUUCCCUAAGACUUUAUUUAUUUAUUUUUUUAUGUAAUCUCUACAGCCAACAUGGGGCUCGAACCUGCAUCUCUGAGAUCAAGAGACGUAUGCCCUACCGACUAAGCCCCCACACACCUACAUCUUUACACACUUACCCACAGAGACUGAGGCAUCUGGUCACAUUUGGGGGACACAGGUUUUGUUUUUUUAAUGUUUUUAUUUUUGAGAGAGACAGAGUGUGAGUGGGGGAGGGGCGGAGAGAGAGGGAGACACGGAAUCCAAAGCAGGCUCCAGGCUCUGAGCUGUCAGCACGGAGCCCGACGCAGGGCUCGAGCUCACAAAUCGCAAUGUCAUGACCUGAGCCAAAGUCGGACACUCAACUGACUGAGCCACCCGGGUGCCCCAGGGGAUACAGGCUGACACAUGUACCUGCAUCAGUAUUCAUGCUCAUCGCUGUACGUGUGCUGGUGCACGUGUGACACAUACACAGGACACAUAUAGGGCGCACAUCUUUUUUCCCUCCUGGAUAACGAAUUGUUGGAGAAGCUCAGACAGUAUCCUGCCUGGGCUGGACUGGCCCCAGAAUCAAGGGUCACCUGGGCUCAAGCCAGUUGCCAGAUGCCUCUUGGUAUUUUGCAGGCAGACCAUGUGGACUUUGGUGAGCUGGGUGGCCUUAGUGGCAGGGCUGGUAGCUGGAACACAGUGCCCAGAUGGUCAGUUCUGCCCUGUGGCCUGCUGCCUGGACCCAGGAGGAGUCGGCUAUAGCUGCUGCAGUCCUGUUCUGGUG